rnacentral:rRNA from 1 species
UAGGGAAUUUUGCACAAUGGGCGCAAGCCUGAUGCAGCAACGCCGCGUGAGUGAAGAAGGCUCUUGGGUUGUAAAGCUCUUUCGGCUGGGAAGAAGGGUGUCACCGCGAACAGCUGUGACGUCUGACGGUACCAGAAGAAGAAGCACCUGCUAACUACGUGCCAGCAGCAGCGGUAAUACGUAGGGUGCAAGCGUUGUUCGGAAUUACUGGGCGUAAAGGGCGCGUAGGCGGGCCCGUGUGUCGAUUGUGAAAGCCCUGGGCUCAACCUGGGAAUGGCAGUCGAAACUGCGGGUCUUGAGUGCCUGAGAGGAUGGCGGAAUUCCCGGUGUAGAAGUGAAAUUCGUAGAUAUCGGGAAGAACACCUGAGGCGAAGGCGGCUAUCUGGCGGUGCACUGACGCUGAGGCGCGAAAGCGUGGGGAGCAAACAG